CCUACGGGAGGCAGCAGUGAGGAAUAUUGGUCAAUGGGCUUACGCCUGAACCAGCCAAGUCGCGUGAGGGAAGACUGCCCUAUGGGUUGUAAACCUCUUUUGUCAGGGAGCAACGCCGGCUACGUGUAGCCGGACUGAGAGUACCUGAAGAAAAAGCAUCGGCUAACUCCGUGCCAGCAGCCGCGGUAAUACGGAGGAUGCGAGCGUUAUCCGGAUUUAUUGGGGUUAAAGGGAGCGUAGGUGGAUUGUUAAGUCAGUUGUUAAAGUUUGCGGCUCAACCGUAAAAUUGCAGUUGAAACUGGCAGUCUUGAGUACAGUAGGGGUGGGCGGAAUGCGUGGUGUAGCGGUGAAAUGCUUAGAUAUCACGAAGAACUCCGAUUGCGAAGGCAGCUCACUGGACUGCAACUGACACUGAGGCUCGAAAGUGUGGGUAUCAAACAGGAUUAGAUACCCGGGUAGUC
rnacentral:rRNA from 1 species